GGCGCGCACAGGCACACAGACACAGACUUUUUAGAUACAGUGCUGCAAGUGAGCGUCGUGAGUGAAAAGCAAGCUAACAGAAUGAACACGACAGCUUUGGUGUCUAAACCGAACGCAACAGCCCAAGUGUGGGAAUAUUUCGGCUUUAAACCAGUUUUGUUUUCGUCAACCACAAAACUCCACGUGUGUGUGCGCGCGCGCGUGCGUGCGUGUGUGUCUGUGUGUUGGAGGAGCACAGCAGGCUGAUGAGAGCUGUCAGAGCGGACUGAAGCUGCUCCUAUAUGUUUAGCGUUUAACUGACUGAGUUUUGCAACUCUGGUCGUCAUUUUCGUCUCGUCCCAUCAACGUAAACGCACUUUCGUCUCGUCACAUUUUAGUCAUCUCCGACUUAUGUUUAGCUCGUCAACGUUACGUCUUCGUCGUGGGAGAAAAGGGAAAUAUUUUAGUCAACGAAAACAACCAGUGUUGUUCUCGUGUGGAAAUUAAAGUUUAUCACUUUUGACAUGGUGUACUCGCAUUAUUAUGCC